UGAGGAAUAUUGGUCAAUGGGCGAGAGCCUGAACCAGCCAAGUCGCGUGAGGGAAGAAUGGUCUAUGGCCUGUAAACCUCUUUUGUCAGGGAAGAAUAAGGAUGACGAGUCAUUCGAUGCCAGUACUUGACGAAUAAGCAUCGGCUAACUCCGUGCCAGCAGCCGCGGUAAUACGGGGGAUGCGAGCGUUAUCCGGAUUUAUUGGGUUUAAAGGGUACGCAGGCGGCGCGCCAAGUCAGCGGUCAAAGUUCCGGGCUCAACCCGGUGUCGCCGUUGAAACUGGCGUGCUCGAGUGCGUGCGAGGAAGGCGGAAUGCGUUGUGUAGCGGUGAAAUGCAUAGAUAUGACGCAGAACUCCGAUUGCGAAGGCAGCUUUCCAGCGCGCUACUGACGCUGAGGCACGAAAGCGU
rnacentral:rRNA from 1 species